rnacentral:misc_RNA from 1 species
UACGUAGGGUCCAAGCGUUACUCGGAUUUACUGGGCGUAAAGCGUGUGUAGGCGGUCUGUUAAGCGGGGUGUGAAAUCUUGAGGCUCAACCUUAAGACUGUGCCCCGAACUGGCAGACUCGAGUACUGAAGAGGUUAGCGGAAUUAGUAGUGUAGGGGUGAAAUCCGUAGAUAUUACUAAGAACACCAAUGGCGAAGGCAGCUAACUGGGCAGUCACUGACGCUAAGACACGAAAGCGUGGGGAGCGAACGGG